GCCUGGGUGGCUCAGUCGUUUGAGUGUCUGACUUUGGCUCAGGUCAUGAUCUCACGGUUCGUGAGUUCGAGCCCCACGUCAGGCU
rnacentral:tRNA from 1 species